CAGUGUGCCUUCUAUUACCUGACUGAGGGAUACUACACCCGGCAACGAGACUUCAGAGACAACAAUAUCUUUUGAAACCCGCUUCUCCGCUAAGUGCCCCCAGCAUUUAUUUGAUACAGAUAGAUUUUACUACACGGAUCCGGUAGGAUUAUCAUUUGUUCGGCUGUCUGGAGGUGCUUGUUGGAUACCUUCACCACCUAAUAGCUGGUAAGCACUUGUUUGUUUGGGAUUGUCUGACGGGUGUGUUAUUCACUUUGCGAGUGACCUAACUGUUGGGUAGGGUAAAUUUACUGAUUCCCAACAACUACUACUACUGCUAUAACUUCUACUACUACUACUGCUAUUACUACAGCCACUCCCACAGGCACAUAGACCCUGUGGACCCGUCGGAGGGCAUGAUGAAGCAGCGGGAGACUGGCAUUUAUACCAACGACUUCCUGGAGUUUAUCGGCAGCGGACACUCCACCGUGCCCAAAGACACAUACGACCUGGUGGUCAUCUCGGGCGCUAUGGGCGAAGGUCACAUCCCACUCUGUGGCCUAGACGACCUGGUGCGCGUCGCAAAGAACGGAGGCUUCGUGAUCAUCGUGAUGCGCCUUGAGUACCUACAGACCGCGCCUUCAUACAAGGACAAGCUGGAGCAUUACAUGGACCUCCUGGAGGCGGAGGGGAAGUGGAAGAAGGUAGGGAGAAUCGUUGCCAGAUUAUCGUACUCAGAGCAUAGUAUUUACCGUUUUUUGACACCUAACUAUUGCCAAGAAACCUCAGGAAUUCACUAUUUUAACGAUAGAUAUAAAUAAAUCUAUUUAUUGAGCCCCAGGAGACAGUUUUGGGGUCGG